rnacentral:rRNA from 1 species
ACUCCUACGGGAGGCAGCAGUAAGGAAUAUUGCGCAAUGGCGAAAGCCUGACGCAGCGACGCCGCGUGGGGGAUGAAGGUCUUCGGAUUGUAAACCCCUUUCGGGAGGGAAGAUGGAGUGGGUAACCACUUGGACGGUACCUCCAGAAGCAGCCACGGCUAACUUCGUGCCAGCAGCCGCGGUAAUACGAAGGUGGCAAGCGUUGUUCGGAUUCACUGGGCGUACAGGGAGCGUAGGCGGUUGGGUAAGCCCUCCGUGAAAUCUCCGGGCCUAACCCGGAAAGUGCAGAGGGGACUGCUCAGCUAGAGGAUGGGAGAGGAGCGCGGAAUUCCCG